AACGAACGCUGGCGGCAUGCCUAACACAUGCAAGUCGAACGAGACCUUCGGGUCUAGUGGCGCACGGGUGCGUAACGCGUGGGAAUCUGCCCUUGGGUUCGGAAUAACAGUUAGAAAUGACUGCUAAUACCGGAUAAUGUCUUCGGACCAAAGAUUUAUCGCCCAGGGAUGAGCCCGCGUAGGAUUAGCUAGUUGGUGGGGUAAAGGCUCACCAAGGCGACGAUCCUUAGCUGGUCUGAGAGGAUGAUCAGCCACACUGGGACUGAGACACGGCCCAGACUCCUACGGGAGGCAGCAGUGGGGAAUAUUGGACAAUGGGCGAAAGCCUGAUCCAGCAAUGCCGCGUGAGUGAUGAAGGCCUUAGGGUUGUAAAGCUCUUUACCCGGGAUGAUAAUGACAGUACCGGGAGAAUAAGCCCCGGCUAACUACGUGCCAGCAG
rnacentral:rRNA from 1 species